GGGCGUGUAGUUCAGUGGUAGAACGCUUCGUUGACAUCGAAGAGGUCAUAAGUUCAAUUCUUAUUACGCCCACCA
rnacentral:tRNA from 1 species